rnacentral:rRNA from 1 species
GAUGAACGCUGGCGGCGUGCCUAACACAUGCAAGUCGAACGGAGUUAUUAUUAUGAAGUUUUCGGAUGGAUUAAUAAUAACUUAGUGGCGGACGGGUGAGUAACGCGUGGGUAACCUGCCUCAUACAGGGGGAUAACAGUUGGAAACGGCUGCUAAAACCGCAUAACAUUGCGAUGUCGCAUGACAAUGCAAUUAAAUAUUUAUAGGUAUGAGAUGGGCCCGCGUCUUAUUAGCUAGUUGGUGGGGUAAUGGCCUACCAAGGCGACGAUCAGUAGCCGGCUUGAGAGAGUGACCGGCCACAUUGGGACUGAGACACGGCCCAAACUCCUACGGGAGGCAGCAGUGGGGAAUAUUGCACAAUGGGGGAAACCCUGAUGCAGCGACGCCGCGUGAGUGAAGAAGUAUUUCGGUAUGUAAGCUCUAUCAGCAGGGAAGAAAAUGACGGUACCUGCCUAAGAAGCCCCGGCUAACUACGUGCCAGCCGCCGCAGUAA